rnacentral:rRNA from 1 species
UACGUAGGUGGCAAGCGUUGUUCGGAAUUAUUGGGCGUAAAGGGUGCGUAGGCGGGUCUUUAAGUCAGGGGUGAAAUCCUGGAGCUCAACUCCAGAACUGCCUUUGAUACUGAGGAUCUUGAGUUCGGGAGAGGUGAGUGGAACUGCGAGUGUAGAGGUGAAAUUCGUAGAUAUUCGCAAGAACACCAGUGGCGAAGGCGGCUCACUGGCCCGAUACUGACGCUGAGGCACGAAAGCGUGGGGAGCAAACAGG